ACAAUGAUGAUGUCACUGAUUCUACUGCUGGCCACCCUGGGGCUCCUUGUUCAGGGUUCAUCAGGACAAAUCAUCCUGACUCAGUCUCCUGGAUCUCAGUCUGUUGUUCCAGGACAGGCUGUCUCUCUCAAAUGUAAAACCAGUACAAGUGUUAGUAGCUACCUCCACUGGUACCUUCAGAAACCUGGAGAAGCUCCUAAACUCCUGAUUUAUCUAGCUACAACUCGUCAGUCUGGAGUUCCAGAUCGUUUUAGUGGAAGUGGAUCUGGGACUGACUUCACUCUGACCAUCAGUGGAGUUCAGGCUGAAGAUUCAGGAGUUUACUACUGUCAGCAGAGUAACAGCUUCCCGUUCACACAGUGAUACAACGUCGUACAAAAACCUCCCUCAGCUGGAGAGGAACUGAUCUGACUCAACAGCUGCACUGAAACUAAAACAGAGGUUUAUAAAAAUGCACAUUUAGCCAAUAAUUAUUCACAUUAAUGAUUGCAACACUAAAUCUUCUUUAAUAUAUAAUAUUCUAGAAGUUAUACUUCUAAUAUGUUUAUUAAAACAGAUUUUGAACCACUCUUCUGAACAUUAAAGCUAACCUCUGUUGAAUUAUGAUGUGUGAUAUUCAUGAAAACACAAGGACACACAGAUUGUAAAUAUUAUUUAUUAUUUUAUAUCUUACCAUUUUUUCAUUGAAUCUCAGAUAUACUAUAAAUUAAUUUCAUUAAUUGCAGUUAAAUGACUAGUCAUGUUUAUAACAACAUGUAUUUAUAACUUAAAUUGUGUUUUUUAUCCCAGCAAACAAAUUCAUUUUAGUAUGAAAGUAGUAAAUCAUUAAUAUUUGAAUUGUUUCCUUUGGUCAACUUUUACUUGUCUUUCUUCAGCAGAAGCAGUAUGUACAGCAUCUGACAACAGUGAGUACACCCCUCACAUGUUGUCAAUAUUUGAUUAUAUCAAACAACUUGUAUAACAGUGUAAAUUUGCUGUCCCCUUAAAAUAACACAUCACACAGCCUUUAAUGUCUAAACCGCUGGUGACAAAAGUAAGUAGGCCUACACUCCCAAUUGAAAAUGUGCAAAUUGGGCUGCCAUGGCGCUCAGCAGUCCCGUUGUGACACCAAAAUGUGUGACCUAUCAGAUUCUGUGACCCAAAUGAGAAGUUAAGCGCCAGAGGCUUUGUUGACGAUGUGAAG